rnacentral:rRNA from 1 species
AUUGAACGCUGGCGGCAGGCCUAACACAUGCAAGUCGAACGGUAGCACAGAGAGCUUGCUCUCGGGUGACGAGUGGCGGACGGGUGAGUAACGUCUGGGAAACUGCCCGAUGGAGGGGGAUAACUACUGGAAACGGUAGCUAAUACCGCAUAACGUCGCAAGACCAAAGUGGGGGAACUUCGGGCCUCACACCAUCGGAUGUGCCCAGAUGGGAUUAGCUAGUAGGUGGGGUAAUGGCUCACCUAGGCGACGAUCCCUAGCUGGUCUGAGAGGAUGACCAGCCACACUGGAACUGAGACACGGUCCAGACUCCUACGGGAGGCAGCAGUGGGGAAUAUUGCACAAUGGGCGCAAGCCUGAUGCAGCCAUGCCGCGUGUAUGAAGAAGGCCUUCGGGUUGUAAAGUACUUUCAGCGGGGAGGAAGGCGGUGAAGUUAAUAGCUUCACCGAUUGACGUUACCCGCAGAAGAAGCACCGGCUAACUCCGUGCCAGCAGCCGCCGUAA